UAGUAACGGCGAGUGAAGCGGCAACAGCUCAAAUUUGAAAUCUGGCUUCGGCCCGAGUUGUAAUUUGCAGAGGAUGUUUAUGGUGCGGUACCUUCCGAGUUCCCUGGAACGGGACGCCACAGAGGGUGAGAGCCCCGUCUGGUUGGAUACCAAACCUGUGUUAAACUCCUUCAACGAGUCGAGUAGUUUGGGAAUGCUGCUCUAAAUGGGAGGUAAAUCUCUUCUAAAGCUAAAUACCGGCCAGAGACCGAUAGCGCACAAGUAGAGUGAUCGAAAGAUGAAAAGCACCUUGAAAAGGGGGUUAAACAGUACGUGAAAUUGUUGAAAGGGAAGCGUUUAUGACCAGACUUGUGUCGUGUGGCUCAUCCGAGGUUCUCCCCGGUGCACUCCACACGGCUCAGGCCAACAUCGGUUCUCGUUGGGGGAUAAGAACAGUAGGAAUGUGGCCCCUCUCGGGGGGUGUUAUAGCCUAUUGUACGAUACUCUGACGGGGACCGAGGACCGCGCUUCGGCUAGGAUGUUGGCGUAAUGGUCAUUAGCGACCCGUCUUGAAACACGGACCAAGGAGUCGUCCAUUAGAGCGAGCGUUUGGGUGUAAAACCCGCACGCGUAAUGAAAGUGAAAUUAGGUGAGAGCUUCGGCGCAUCAUCGACCGAUCCUGAAGUUUACGGAUGGAUUUGAGUAAGAGUUUUAACGGACGGACCCGAAAGACAGUGAACUAUGCUUGAAUAGGGUGAAGCCAGAGGAAACUCUGGUGGAGGCUCGCAGCGGUUCUGACGUGCAAAUCGAUCGU
rnacentral:rRNA from 1 species